GGGGAUGUAGCUUGGUGGUAGAGUGCUUGUCUAGCAUGCAUGAGGCACUGGGUUCAAUUCUCAGCACCACA
rnacentral:tRNA from 1 species